rnacentral:rRNA from 1 species
CGUAGGUGGCAAGCGUUGUCCGGAAUUAUUGGGCGUAAAGCGCGCGCAGGCGGUCUCUUAAGUCUGAUGUGAAAGCCCCCGGCUCAACCGGGGAGGGUCAUUGGGAAACUGGGAGACUUGAGUGCAGAAGAGAAGAGCGGAAUUCCACGUGUAGCGGUGAAAUGCGUAGAGAUGUGGAGGAACACCAGUGGCGAAGGCGGCUCUUUUGGUCUGUAACUGACGCUGAGGCGCGAAAGCGUGGGGAGCAAACAGGAUUAGAUACCCUGGUAGUCCACGCCGUAAACGAUGAGUGCUAAGUGUUAGAGGGUUUCCGCCCUUUAGUGCUGCAGCUAACGCAUUAAGCACUCCGCCUGGGGAGUACGGCCGCAAGGCUG